rnacentral:tRNA from 1 species
CAGGGAGACAACAAAAUGUUUAAUAUUAUAAUUUUGUCACCUUAGGUCGAUCGGUAUCUCACGUUCUUAAUUUGUUAAGAAUUUCAUUUCCUAAGUUUUUCUAGGUCACACCCAUAUUUUUCCUGGGCCAUUAGCUCAGGUGGUUAGAGCGCACCCCUGAUAAGGGUGAGGUCCCUGGUUCAAGUCCAGGAUGGCCCAUAUCUCUAUGUUGGGGGUAUAGCUCAGUUGGUAGAGCGCCUGCUUUGCAAGCAGGAUGUCAGCGGUUCGAGUCCGCUUACCUCCACUGAUUACCACCUCUUCCAUAACCGGUAGAAAGGAAAUGUUUUGAGUUGUGAUCAUUAUUCUGAACGAAUCUAGCUUCCUAAUGAAAUCAUUAAGAUGCUGGACUCAUUGAAUUAAUUUCAUUGUUUUCAGAGAACCUUGACAACUGCAUAGAUUAUUUUUAAAGACAAUAAGCAUCUUUAAUGAUGCAGAUUUAUUAUUUGUGCGAAUGCAUUAAUAACAAUUCUAUUAAGCUGAUGCUUCAAUUUUGAAGUUAUU